AAAAUCCAAACCAAAUGUGAGAAACUAGACCACUAGGCCAAGCCUAGGGUCCAAAGGGGAUAAAAAAUUCUAAACAGCAAGUGCAAUUCAACCAAAAUCACAUUAAAACAAAUUAAAAGCAAAUGCAAUUGGUCCCAUGCUCAUACCAUUCACCAUUAUCAAUUCAUGCACAAUUUAACAUUAAUCGUGCAAUUUGCAACUUCAAAUGACCAAACAGAACUAUCUCACUCAAAAGCAUACCAAAUCAAUUCAAUUAAUUC
rnacentral:lncRNA from 1 species